rnacentral:rRNA from 1 species
GUUAGGAAUCUUCCACAAUGGGGGCAACCCUGAUGGAGCAACACCGCGUGCUGGAUGAAGGCCUUCGGGUCGUAAACAGCUUUUGUAUACGAAGAAUAUGACGGUAAUAUACGAAUAAGGGUCGGCUAACUACGUGCCAGCAGCCGCGGUCAUACGUAGGACCCAAGCGUUAUCCGGAGUGACUGGGCGUAAAGAGUGGCGUAGGCGGCUUAUUAAGCGAGUAGUGAAAUCUGGUGGCUCAACCAUCAACACAUUGCUCGAACUGAUAGGCUUGAGAAUGGUAGAGGUAGUUGGAAUUUCUUGUGUAGGAGUGAAAUCCGUAGAUAUAAGAAGGAACACCAAUGGCGUAGGCAGACUACUGGACCAUUUCUGACGCUGAGGCACGAAAGCGUGGGGAGCGAACCGGAUUAGAAACCCUGGUAGUCC